GGUGUAAACAGUUAACACUUUUGGCUGCUAACCAAAAAACUGGAGGUUCAAGUCCACC
rnacentral:tRNA from 1 species